AUUCAGCUGACGAGUCCCAAAUAGGACGAAGUGAUGCGCGUGCUGGAU
rnacentral:hammerhead_ribozyme from 1 species